ensembl:lncRNA
AAGAGGAGUCAGACGCUGGGGACAAAGACAAAGACGCAGAAAUGAAGGACGAAGACAAAAAGGCCAAAGACAAAGACGCCAAAGACAAGAGCUCAGAAGAGGAAUCAGACGCUGAGGACAAAGACAAAAAGGCCAAAGACAAAGACGCCAAAGACAAGAGCUCAGAAGAGGAGUCAGACGCUGAGGACAAAGACAAAAAAGCCAAAGACAAAGACGCCGAAGACAAGAGCUCAGAAGAGGAGUCAGACGCUGAGGACAAAGACAAAAAGGCCAAAGACAAAGACGCCGAAGACAAGAGCUCAGAAGAGGAGUCAGACGCUGAGGACAAAGACAAAAAGGCCAAAGACAAAGAUGCCAAAGACAAGAGCUCCGGCAGCCAGGAGGCAGGGGCCUCCACCAAAGAAGAUGGAGAUUCCAUCAGUGACGAAGACGACAUUAACAGCAGCCAGGAGAUGCACGACAGCGCCAGCCAAGACUCAGAGUACGCCACCAAGGAGGAGAGUGAGGAGGAGAAGAGCGCUGAGUCAUCGGACGACAAAGUGAGCAAGAACGCCAGCAAGAAAGACAAAGACAGCAUGGAGGACAAAUCAGAAGAUGUCCCUGCUGUCCCUGCUAACACCAGUCAGAGUUCCUAGCAUUCUGGCUUGUACCAGUAGGUUAUGGUGGAGUCUAUACACAGAAUCAUCAUGAAAAGACACAAAGGAAAUCUACUGAUGCAGUCACAAUAACAAAAAAAGCAUUUUCGGGGCUGGACAAACUUUUUCUUAUUUCCUCUACCUUUUCACUUCCCCCACUUCCUCCAAAAACAAGUAGUUUUCUUUAUAGGGUGAGGAGCUAUGAUUUUAAUUAUUCAACGUUUUGUUCACAGAAUUCACAACUUAUACACUGAAUAUGAUGACUAUUGGGACGAUGGUUUUAGAAGCCCCCAUGUCCGAUGUUUAUACGGCUCAUAGCCUUAAAAUCCUUGACAUUGUAAACACACAACUGCUACUUUUACUGAAAAGAACAUUGGGCCUCAUUCUCGACAGUAGAGAAGAAUUUAAGAAGGAAUUUCUUCUGAACUGGAUUUAGGGAUUUCUUCUGAACUUCAGAAGACUUUCCGAAUGCGAAAUAGCAGUCGUAAAUCGGCCAGAGUUUUCUCAAAUGCGAUUCGUUUUUUUGAGGAAUCGCAUUUAAGAAAACUCUCCGUGUUAGAAGUGUUAAUGAAUGUGAGAAAUCGUUGGUGAUUGCGUUCACAUCAACUCUACAGACAUCCUCGGAUUAAAAUAAUUAUAAUAAUAAUAAAUACGAGAAUAUUUGUAUCAUUAACAAUUAUGUUUCACAUUUAUAGUCAUGAUUCUACGAGGCAUUGUGAUGUCCUAAAAUAAAUAAAAGGUCUACACGAACACUGCAAAUGUAAGUAAAUAAAUAAAUAAGCACUAAACUCAAUCGCGUUGAUAUAGCUAUAGCGGAAUAGAAUGGACACAUCUACAUCCUGCAACAGUACCUCCACCUCUGCACCGGUGAAGUUAGAUCUGCGUUUACUGUAAGUGCUCGCUUUCCGCUUUGACAUGACUCGUUUACGAGUUGCUUUCGUGAAGAUUCGGUCGAUUCCAACUGCACGCGUCACUACGGUUGCGUGCCCUUAUAAGGAGCUGGCGGGGCGUGUAUGUAUGCAAAUCCAGGUGCACGAGAACGCGCUUUCAAUUUAAGAAAACUCUUCCGGGGGAGCACAGCUCAUGAAUCCGGCGGAGGUCUUUUUCGUACGUUGUUUUUCCGAAGUCCGUAAGAAACAUUUCAGAAGAAACUUCAGAAAAUUUUCGAGAAUGAGGCCCAUUGGUUUGAUAUCUGUGCAAUUCUGCUUGAUUUUCUCUGUCUAAAAAAAUACAGUGCUCAAAUGUCGUAGGGCUGUGAUGCAUCUGCAUGUUGUGAGACUUUCUCUGCAUUCUAGUUCUGCUUUUCCACGUUGCUACAACACUUUCUUCAGAUAACUGCUGUAACAAAACAAUAUCCACAAAAAAAGGAGUGUACAGACAUUUUAUGAGGCAAUUUCGUUAUGCACGUCUCUACCUUUUGAGGAUUUAUGACUAAUAUUGUAGUGUAUGUAUAAGAGCAUUGUCGAUGAAUUAUUGUAAUUACAAGAGAUGUAUAGAUAUAUCAGUAAUGUCAUUUUAAUAUGUACACAGGGAGCAAAUUGAAUAAAGCCUGAGUGGUCAGAAAAAAAAAUUCAGGGCUCACAUUUCCUUUGGUAAGAGGGGGAGUGGAGAAGUUCAGUGUGUGGCCCUGUGUGACCUGCCCAUGUUUGUGAGUGUGUCUUUGGGGGGCAAAGAACUGUGGCCCCUUUGUGGACUUCCUGUCGCCCUGAACUCAAUUCUGCUCAAUAUAAAUGUUAGCUCUUUAUAAAAAGCAUUCAAUUGUAUGGUUUUGAUUAUCUGCUACUGGUAUGAAAAUGUGGUGCA